AGAGUUUGAUCCUGGCUCAGAGCGAACGUUAACGGCGGGCCUAACACAUGCAAGUCGAGCGAGAAAGGGGCUUCGGCCCUGAGUAAAGCGGCGGACGGGUGAGUAACACGUAGGUAAUCUUCCCUUGAGCGGGGGACAACGGUCCGAAAGGACCGCUAAUACCGCAUACGUUUCUUCGGCCUCCGGGCCGGGGAAGGAAAGCUAGGCCGCAAGGUCCGGCACUCGAGGAGGAGCCUGCGUCGCAUCAGCUAGUUGGUGGGGUAACGGCCUACCAAGGCGAAGACGCGUAGCUGGUCUGAGAGGAUGAUCAGCCACACUGGGACUGAGACACGGCCCAGACUCCUACGGGAGGCAGCAGUGGGGAAUAUUGGACAAUGGGCGCAAGCCUGAUCCAGCCACGCCGCGUGAGUGAUGAAGGCCUUCGGGUCGUAAAGCUCUGUGGGGAGGGACGAACCGCUGCACGUGCAUAGCGUGCAGCAUGACGGUACCUCUUAGCAAGCACCGGCUUACUCCGUGCCAGCAGCCGCGGUAAUAC
rnacentral:rRNA from 1 species